GACAGAGGGUGCAAACGUUGUUCGGAUUUACUGGGCGUAAAGCGCGUGUAGGCGGCUUCGUAAGUUGGAUGUGAAAUCCCACGGCUCAACCGUGGACGUGCAUCCAAAACUACGUCGCUGGAGUCUCGGAGAGGAAGGUGGAAUGCUUGGUGUAGAGGUGAAAUUCGUAGAUAUCGAGAGGAACACCUGCGGCGAAGGCGGGUUGCUGGGCUGAUACUGACGCUGAUGCGCGAAAGCCAGGGGAGCGAACGGG
rnacentral:rRNA from 1 species